rnacentral:lncRNA from 1 species
GGCUUUUCUUAAUAAAAAUUCAAAUAAGAAUUUUUAAGCAAAAUUACACUGUGACAACUCCCACCUGGCCCAACUGCUUUGGACCCCAAAGCUUCAAAAUGUUAUAUCAUUAAACAAUUUUUUUUUUUUUUAUUAAAUGUCAUCAAUAAAAUUAAAAUAAAGUCUUUGAUUGUUCAUUUGAGAAACACACAUCUGCUGGAACGAGGGGUGACGGUCAUCAUGUCCAUGGUUAAUUUUGGGACGUCCAACGGUACGGUUUGUGGAAACCAAAUGAUUGGUUACGAUAUGAAUUCCAUCCUAUGAAUGUUCAUGUGUAGUUCGAGAAUAGGAUUGAUCCAACGGUUGAUACGGAGUGUCCAUGUGUAGUUUGAAUUGGUCCAAUCCAACGGUUGAUACGGAGUGUCCGUGUGUAGUUUGAAUAGGUCCAAUCCAACGGUUGAUACGGAGUGUCCAAGUGAAUUGAUAUAUAUCCAAGAUUAAUGCUUUUUGUUCACAACGGUUUUUGUUGAUGGUGCCUACUUUUCAGGUUGCUGUUGCCAAUGAUGCCAAUAGUUCUGUAUACAUAUAUAGAAACCAAAAAAUAUAUAAAACCAGUAAUAUAUUAAACAAAAUUUGAAUGCAAGUCAUGCUCAUCAAGGUCAUAAUAUCUGCCAUAAAAGGGGGAGUUUAGAUAAAGUCAUGUCUAAUAACCAAAAAUCAAGGGUCAUAUAUUUAC